UCCUGUUUUUAUUAGCCAGGGUUACAGU
rnacentral:sRNA from 1 species